UACGAAGGGGGCUAGCGUUGUUCGGAAUUACUGGGCGUAAAGCGCACGUAGGCGGGUUGUUAAGUCAGGGGUGAAAUCCCGGAGCUCAACUCCGGAACUGCCUUUGAUACUGGCAAUCUAGAGACUGGAAGAGGUUAGUGGAAUUCCCAGUGUAGAGGUGAAAUUCGUAGAUAUUAGGAAGAACACCAGUGGCGAAGGCGGCUCACUGGUCCGGUACUGACGCUGAGGUGCGAAAGCGUGGGGAGCAAACAGG
rnacentral:rRNA from 1 species